AAAGGAUUAGUUAAUUUAUAACAUCAGAAUGUCAAACUGAAAUAAUCACAAAGAUAUCCUUUU
rnacentral:tRNA from 2 species